GGUUAAGUUAGAAAGGGCGCACGGUGGAUGCCUUGACACUAGGAGUCGAUGAAGGACGGGACUAACGCCGAUAUGCUUCGGGGAGCUGUAAGUAAGCUUUGAUCCGAAGAUUUCCGAAUGGGGAAACCCACCAUACGUAAUGGUAUGGUAUCCUUAUCUGAAUACAUAGGGUAAGGAAGACAGACCCAGGGAACUGAAACAUCUAAGUACCUGGAGGAAGAGAAAGCAAAUGCGAUUUCCUGAGUAGCGGCGAGCGAAACGGAACAUAGCCCAAACCAAGAGGCUUGCCUCUUGGGGUUGUAGGACAUUCUAUACGGAGUUACAAAGGAACGAGGUAGACGAAGCGACCUGGAAAGGUCCGUCGUAGAGGGUAACAACCCCGUAGUCGAAACUUCGUUCUCUCUUGAAUGUAUCCUGAGUACGGCGGAACACGUGAAAUUCCGUCGGAAUCUGGGAGGACCAUCUCCCAAGGCUAAAUACUCCCUAGUGAUCGAUAGUGAACCAGUACCGUGAGGGAAAGGUGAAAAGCACCCCGGAAGGGGAGUGAAAGAGAUCCUGAAACCGUGUGCCUACAAAUAGUCAGAGCCCGUUAACGGGUGAUGGCGUGCCUUUUGUAGAAUGAACCGGCGAGUUACGAUCCCGUGCGAGGUUAAGCUGAAGAGGCGGAGCCGCAGCGAAAGCGAGUCUGAAUAGGGCGUUUAGUACGUGGUCGUAGACCCGAAACCAGGUGAUCUACCCAUGUCCAGGGUGAAGUUCAGGUAACACUGAAUGGAGGCCCGAACCCACGCACGUUGAAAAGUGCGGGGAUGAGGUGUGGGUAGCGGAGAAAUUCCAAUCGAACCUGGAGAUAGCUGGUUCUCCCCGAAAUAGCUUUAGGGCUAGCCUUAAGUGUAAGAGUCUUGGAGGUAGAGCACUGAUUGGACUAGGGGUCCUCAUCGGAUUACCGAAUUCAGUCAAACUCCGAAUGCCAAUGACUUAUCCUUAGGAGUCAGACUGCGAGUGAUAAGAUCCGUAGUCAAAGGGAAACAGCCCAGACCGCCAGCUAAGGUCCCAAAGUGUGUAUUAAGUGGAAAAGGAUGUGGAGUUGCUUAGACAACUAGGAUGUUGGCUUAGAAGCAGCCACCAUUUAAAGAGUGCGUAAUAGCUCACUAGUCGAGUGACUCUGCGCCGAAAAUGUACCGGGGCUAAAUACACCACCGAAGCUGCGGAUUGAUACCGAAUGGUAUCAGUGGUAGGGGAGCGUUCUAAGGACAGUGAAGUCAGACCGGAAGGACUGGUGGAGUGCUUAGAAGUGAGAAUGCCGGUAUGAGUAGCGAAAGACGGGUGAGAAUCCCGUCCACCGAAUGCCUAAGGUUUCCUGAGGAAGGCUCGUCCGCUCAGGGUUAGUCAGGACCUAAGCCGAGGCCGACAGGCGUAGGCGAUGGACAACAGGUUGAUAUUCCUGUACCACCUCUUUAUCGUUUGAGCAAUGGAGGGACGCAGAAGGAUAGAAGAAGCGUGCGAUUGGUUGUGCACGUCCAAGCAGUUAGGCUGAUAAGUAGGCAAAUCCGCUUAUCGUAAAGGCUGAGCUGUGAUGGGAAGCUCCUUAUGGAGCGAAGUCUUUGAUUCCCCGCUGCCAAGAAAAGCUUCUAGCGAGAUAAAAGGUGCCUGUACCGCAAACCGACACAGGUAGGCGAGGAGAGAAUCCUAAGGUGUGCGAGAGAACUCUGGUUAAGGAACUCGGCAAAAUGACCCCGUAACUUCGGGAGAAGGGGUGCUUUCUUAACGGAAAGCCGCAGUGAAUAGGCCCAAGCGACUGUUUAGCAAAAACACAGCUCUCUGCGAAGCCGUAAGGCGAAGUAUAGGGGUGACACCUGCCCGGUGCUGGAAGGUUAAGGAGAGGGGUUAGCGUAAGCGAAGCUCUGAACUGAAGCCCCAGUAAACGGCGGCCGUAACUAUAACGGUCCUAAGGUAGCGAAAUUCCUUGUCGGGUAAGUUCCGACCCGCACGAAAGGUGUAACGAUUUGGGCACUGUCUCAACCAGAGACUCGGUGAAAUUAUAGUACCUGUGAAGAUGCAGGUUACCCGCGACAGGACGGAAAGACCCCGUGGAGCUUUACUGUAUCCUGAUAUUGAAUUUUGGUACAGUUUGUACAGGAUAGGCGGGAGCCUUUGAAACCGGAGCGCUAGCUUCGGUGGAGGCGCUGGUGGGAUACCGCCCUGACUGUAUUGAAAUUCUAACCUACGGGUCUUAUCGACCCGGGAGACAGUGUCAGGUGGGCAGUUUGACUGGGGCGGUCGCCUCCUAAAGUGUAACGGAGGCGCCCAAAGGUUCCCUCAGAAUGGUUGGAAAUCAUUCGUAGAGUGCAAAGGCAUAAGGGAGCUUGACUGCGAGACCUACAAGUCGAGCAGGGACGAAAGUCGGGCUUAGUGAUCCGGUGGUUCCGCAUGGAAGGGCCAUCGCUCAACGGAUAAAAGCUACCCCGGGGAUAACAGGCUUAUCUCCCCAAGAGUCCACAUCGACGGGGAGGUUUGGCACCUCGAUGUCGGCUCAUCGCAUCCUGGGGCUGUAGUCGGUCCCAAGGGUUGGGCUGUUCGCCCAUUAAAGCGGUACGCGAGCUGGGUUCAGAACGUCGUGAGACAGUUCGGUCCCUAUCCGUCGUGGGCGUAGGAAAUUUGAGAGGAGCUGUCCUUAGUACGAGAGGACCGGGAUGGACGCACCGCUGGUGUACCAGUUGUUCUGCCAAGGGCAUAGCUGGGUAGCUAUGUGCGGAAGGGAUAAGUGCUGAAAGCAUCUAAGCAUGAAGCCCCCCUCAAGAUGAGAUUUCCCAUAGCGUAAGCUAGUAAGAUCCCUGAAAGAUGAUCAGGUUGAUAGGUUCGAGGUGGAAGCAUGGUGACAUGUGGAGCUGACGAAUACUAAUAGAUCGAGGACUUAACCAU
rnacentral:rRNA from 1 species